AAUAGAUACCCUGGUAGUCCACGCCGUAAACGAUGAGUGCUAAGUGUUAGGGGGUUUCCGCCCCUUAGUGCUGCAGCUAACGCAUUAAGCACUCCGCCUGAGGAGUACGGUCGCAAGACUGAAACUCAAAGGAAUUGACGGGGGCCCGCACAAGCGGUGGAGCAUGUGGUUUAAUUCGAAGCAACGCGAAGAACCUUACCAGGUCUUGACAUCCCACUGACCGCUAUGGAGACAUAGUUUUCCCUUCGGGGACAGUGGUGACAGGUGGUGCAUGGUUGUCGUCAGCUCGUGUCGUGAGAUGUUGGGUUAAGUCCCGCAACGAGCGCAACCCUUGAUCUUAGUUGCCAUCAUUUAGUUGGGCACUCUAAGGUGACUGCCGGUGACAAACCGGAGGAAGGUGGGGAUGACGUCAAAUCAUCAUGCCCCUUAUGACCUGGGCUACACACGUGCUACAAUGGACGGUACAAACGGUUGCCAACCCGCGAGGGGAGCUAAUCCGAUAAAACCGUUCUCAGUUCGGAUUGUAGGCUGCAACUCGCCUA
rnacentral:rRNA from 1 species